GGGGAUGUGGCUCAGUGGUGGAGCCCUCACCUAGUACACGAGAGGCCCUGGGUUCAAGCCUCAGCACCUCUU
rnacentral:tRNA from 1 species